UCGGUCCCUUUUGAUAAUACAAAUAGAGAAAAAAACAAGACUUUUGGAUGAUAAGAAUUGUAGGAUUACAAUUCAAAAUAGGUUGCUGAUCUAGUUCUCUUCGUAUUCUUUUUUCAUGAUCUAAUAUGAAUGGUAUAAUGCCGACCGUCCCUAGCGCAAGUGGCAAACAGCUUGGUGGUUGAUAUCCGAUGUUCCAAAUUCAAAUCCUAGUUGAUUAACAUUUUCAGCUGAGUUUAUUUUUGGGUAGCAUACUACUAUCUCUCAAAAAAAAAAAAAAAAAUGGUAUAAUUUUAAAAUGAUAAGCAAGUGACUUAUAAAAAUUAUUAGGACACAAUACUUAUAUCUAUAUUAUAGGCGUACAGAUAGCAUUAUUCUGGAUGGAGUUAUAGUU
rnacentral:lncRNA from 1 species